AGAUUUUGCUGUAUUUGUGCUUUUUUCAACUCCCCCUGAGGAGUAUUAACUCAAAGCAAUCACAAGACACCCAUCCUUGCCUGCUGCUUCUUGAACUGCUGUAUCCUCUUCUUUGCUUCUUGCUUUUCUAUUUGAAGAUUUUUUUAUUCUUUUUUUUUUCUUGACGAGGGAACAGCAGCAAGCAGAACCAUAAAGGGUGUCUCCUUUCCUAAAAUAAUAACUAUUUGAUGUGAGAAAACAAACCCACAGAACUCUUCUGUUCAUGUAGGAUUUGCUUUGAACAACCGUGUUCUCUUACCCAAAGGAAGAUAGGUCGAGUGCUCUGUGAAGUACAGCACUGGAAAAGGAAGCCAUGGGCACGCUUGGAAAAUGCUGAGCUGCUUGUGAAGCUACACUGCAUGUUUAUGACUUGGUUUUCUAAGCAAUCUCCAGAGCUUGAACGGAUUACAGUGAUACUUUAACAAGGCUGCUGCAUCCAUCACCAGCUUUCAGUCAGUGAGAAAGCUAAAAGAUGGAAGAAUGUAAUUAUUUCCGCAUAAGCUAAGUGUUAGUGACUGAUUAUCAUGAGAACUUUGAUGCUUUAAACUUCUUCAUCCUCUGAAGGCAAGCAGUCCCUCUGAUGACACCGCGAAUCUGGGAAUGAAGAACUUCUUAGAGCUGAUUGGAAAUGGCAUUGCAGAGCUGAAACUUAACUGGAGGAAAUAUAUCUCCUGAAGAAGAAAAUAUAAUGCACUGUAAGGAUCUGUCUUCUGGUGAAAAAUUCAAGCCUAGAGAAAACUUGUCUGCUUUGUUAGGAAGAAUGGGUUGGACAAUUUUCUUCAAUUCCAAAGGAUAUCUGAAUGCCAUGCUGAGCUUAAUCUCUGCAGCAUGCUCUGUGCUUCUCAUCUCUUCCUGAUGCACUGCAUGGUUAUUCUGAAGGGAAGGAUAAAGAAACUGGCCACCAAGAUGGUAAUCACUAGUGGAAAUGAAGAAGAUAAAGGCAGUCAAGAAAAGGAAAGCAAAGAAGAAACCAUCUUGGCAAUGCUUGGAAUUAUUGGGACAAUUCUGAACCUCAUUGUGAUCAUUUUUGUGUAUAUUUAUACAACGUUGUAAACUAGAAGGCAUGCAAAUAGACCAGAUAAAAUGGCCAUUAAGAGUGACAACAAACAUUGCUGACUAUUGACAAGUUCUUUAAUCAGAAUUGACUCUGUAUUAUAUUAACACAUCAUAAAAGCACUGCCUGAAGGCAGCGAAGACUGAAGCACAAUUAAUUUAACAAGACUUUUUCACACAGUAAUAAGCUUAACUCUUCUUCCUGCCCUCUCCCUUUCUGUUUGGUUUUCAGUUUGGGGGAGAAUGACUGCAGUUAUAUAAGUUGUAGCUUUGAAGAAAUCCACCAGGGAUAUGUUGUUUUAAAACAAUAAAAAAAAAAAAGAAAAGAAAAUAAAAUACAAGAAAGGAAAAAAAAAAGGAAAAGAAAGAAACUGUAAACUAUAUAUAAUUAGAAAUGUAUGCUGUAUACCCGCAAAGAUUGAACUCAAAGAUAGCUUCAUAGCACAGAUCACGUGUCUGUUAGGUCAAAUGGUUUUUUCUCUUGGUUUUUGCUUUUACUUACAUUGAAUCUGACAAGCUUUUUAUUUAGAAUGAACAUAUGGUGCAAUCAUGAAAAAAACAAUUCUGUUGAGCAAGGUCUGCCUAAACCUGAUAAAAUGUUGGGAGAAAUACAUUACGUGGUUAUUUUUCCUUUCUCAUUUGCUUAACAUCUGUGUCUGUUCAUACCAAUGUUUAUAAAUAUAUAUUUUUAAUAAAUGUGCUAUAUUUUUAGCAUGAACCAAAUAUUUGGAGACACUUGUAUUCAUGCAGCUAAAUUUUGUUUGAUUAAGUGCCCCUUUUGACAAUGGAUGUUAUUUUCCUCGGCAAUUAUACAGCAGUCUUGUUUGCAGCCCUCUCACUGAGGUCUGAAGCAAGCUCGCAUCAUGCUCACAUGCAUGACUUGAAGUUGGAAUGUCAGCUGAAAAGCAUUGCUGCUUAAUAUGGGAAAUAGCAAAACAUUGUAAGGUGACCUUUGGAGACUGGUUGCAGAAAGAAGGCUCUAUUUAUAGUUAAAAAAAGAAAAAAAUGAAAGGAACACUGAGGCAUCUCACAAAAUAUUGCAAAAUUCAUAGAAUUUAUGGCUUUCAGUAUCUGGUCACUCUCUCUAAGUACUUGUGCUGAGAGAAGUGAGCAGAGGUUUAUACAGUUGAAAAGAGAAAUUUAUAGAGCCUAAAGUGAGGGGCUGAAGUGAAAUCCAGACUGUAAAUACAGAGUGUAUUUUAAAUGUGAGGAUCAUUAACUCUUUAUGCUUCUCUGACAUGUGCUUUAACUGAAUUGGUGCAGUGAAAUUCUCUGACUUGUGUUUUUGACAGGAAUGUACAAUGAUGAUGAUCACCAUUUUUCUUCAGAGUUCAGUACCUAUAAAUAUACAAAGCAUUAAAAAUAUGAGACUUCAA